GAUGAACGCUGGCGGUAUGCUUAACACAUGCAAGUCGAACGGACUCUUCGGAGUUAGUGGCGGUCGGGUGAGUAACGCGUGAGAAUCUGGCUUUGGGCUCGGGACAACCCCUGGAAAUGGUGGCUAAUAUCGGAUGUCUCACGCGGUAACAGCGUAAUCCCCUGAAGAUGAGCUCGGGUCUGAUCAGAUCGUGGGGGAGAUAAGGGGCCACCAAGGCAGCGAGCAGUAGCUGGUGUGAGAGGACGACCAGCCAAGCUGGCUCUGAGACACGGCAGAGACGCCUACGGGAGAAAGGAGGGGAGAAUUAUCCGCAAAGGGCGAGAGGGUGACGGAGGAAUACCGGGUGGGGGAACAUGGUUCUGGGGGUGAAAAGCUCUUUUCUAAGACAAGGACAAAAUGACGGUACCUAAGGAAUAAGCACCGGCUAACUCCGUG
rnacentral:rRNA from 1 species